GAAAACCAGCGUAGCACUCAUUUUAAAUAGUAUACUACGUAACGAAAAAUAUACAGAUAAAACGUCAAUUUUUGUUAUAUGAUCUGUGUAAUUUACCAUACGUCCUGCGAUUGGUUUUUACUGUUUAUAAUAGAGAUUUUUUGCUCCACCAAACAAGCAAUUGCGAGUGUAGAAAAAUGGGCAACUAUUUGCUUCAAGAGGUUUGCUUGGUCUGUGUUGCCCUUUGUUUGAAACUUGCAUCGGGAAAUGGGGGUCACUGUUAUGACGACGAUGACUGUACUUGGUGCUGUCAAUCUUCCCAAUGUCAACAACAACACAACUGCAGUUUUGAGACCUGGUCGGUCCAUCUGUUCCCGAUACUUCUCGCAGGUUUCAUAGCUUCCGCUGCUCUCUCACUCAUCAUCUUCUGCAUCUGCGCGAAAACCAAUUUUUGCCGGGAAGAAGAUGAGGAAGUUGAAAUGACCCCUACAACACCUUACGGAGUGUUCGUAAAUCAACCUGGUUCUGAACAUCCCCCCAUUGGACAAGAAGAUGAAAAAGAGUCAACGGCCACUAACAUCGAGCCCACAGUCGAAAAACAGCCUAAAUAAGAUGACGGAAAAUAUGUAUGAUACGACUUUUGACUUAUGAACAAAGCGCUUAAAUACAACUGAAGAAAAAAAAACAUUUAAAUUCAUUCAUUUAACAUUAACCCUGCUUACUCUGAAGAAAACUAAUUUACUUUUUUUUAUAACUCUA